rnacentral:ncRNA from 1 species
GAGAGCCGGUGGCUUGGAAAACUUGCACGUCCGGUUCGGCGAGAGGGGCGCAGAAACCACCUGCCGCGAGGCAGGCAGGCGCUGUGCUCCUACUCUAC